UACGUAGGGGGGCAAGCGUUGUCCGGAAUCAUUGGGCGUAAAGAGCGCGUAGGCGGCCCUGUAAGUCCGCUGUGAAAGUCAAGGGCUCAACCCUUGAAUGCCGGUGGAUACUGCAGGGCUAGAGUCCGGAAGAGGCGAGUGGAAUUCCUGGUGUAGCGGUGAAAUGCGCAGAUAUCAGGAGGAACACCGGUGGCGAAGGCGGAUCUCUGGGCCUUACCUGACGCUGAGGCGCGAAAGCUAGGGGAGCGAACAGG
rnacentral:rRNA from 1 species